rnacentral:rRNA from 1 species
GACGAACGCUGGCGGCGUGCCUAAUACAUGCAAGUUGAGCGCUGAAGGUUGGUACUUGUACCAACUGGAUGAGCAGCGAACGGGUGAGUAACGCGUGGGGAAUCUGCCUUUGAGCGGGGGACAACAUUUGGAAACGAAUGCUAAUACCGCAUAAAAACUUUAAACACAAGUUUUAAGUUUGAAAGAUGCAAUUGCAUCACUCAAAGAUGAUCCCGCGUUGUAUUAGCUAGUUGGUGAGGUAAAGGCUCACCAAGGCGAUGAUACAUAGCCGACCUGAGAGGGUGAUCGGCCACCUUGGGACUGAGACACGGCCCAAACUCCUACGGGAGGCAGCAGUAGGGAAUCUUCGGCAAUGGACGAAAGUCUGACCGCGCAACGCCGCGUGAGUGAAGAAGGUUUUCGGAUCGUAAAACUCUGUUGGUAGAGAAGAACGUUGGUGAGAGUGGAAAGCUCAUCAAGUGACGGUAACUACCCAGAAAGGGACGGCUAACUACGUG